rnacentral:tRNA from 1 species
UCCUUGGUGGCUCAGAUGGUAAAGAAUCUGCUUGCAAUGCAGGCGACCCAGGUUCUAUCCCUGGGUCAGGAA